rnacentral:misc_RNA from 1 species
CACCACCACCACCACCGCCACCAUCUUCUUUUCCUUCUUCUUCCUCUUGUUCGUCUGGGUGUUCUAAGCCAUGCAAAUCCUCGAGCGAUGAUUUUUCAGGGGAGAAGAGACAAGAAAAUGGUGAGUCUGCUGCUGCAGCUACAUUAUUCUUGGACGAGGAGGCAUUAUUUAAUAUGCCAUUUUUGCUUGAUAGCUUGGCAGAGGGUUUGAUCCUUACUCCGCCGUCUAUCGUAAAAGGGUUUGAUUGGGAG